UUGGCUAUAUAAUUGACCCGACUGGCCCAUUGUGCUCAUUUAUAACAACUUGGUGCCGUGACUCGGAUCGGUGGCCGUCGGAGGGGUCUCUCAAUACCGGAGGGGGCGCCCCUCCGAUUCGGAGGCCCCGGGACCUGAGGGACCCGCUCCCGGCCCCGACCGACGAACCCCGAAAAGAGGAAAGGAGAAAGCAAAGGGAGGUUGCGGGCCCAAGGAGACCCCUUAAAAGAUUUGUGCACAAAGUCCGGACGAAGACGCAGGACGCGUUCAGCCAGGAGACUGGGUGUUAAUCAAGAGUUGGAAGGAAAAUCCUUUAACCCCAAGGUGGGAAGGCCCAUAUCUUACCCUGCUCACCACAGACACUGCUGUGAGAACUGCCGAAAAAGGGUGGACUCACGCCAGUCGAAUAAAAGGACCAGUGAACCCCUCCGACUUUCCUGAGCAUUCACAGAACUGUCAGUGGAGAAUAAAAGGACCCCCAGACGGCCUAAGACUGACAUUCACCAAAGCACCAGAAAUGGGCCGUCAUCCCGAUGACUGAGCAGUGGGAAAGGCUAGGACCAGCGGACCAAAGGAGGGUCCAACAAAAGCUGUCAUUAACUUUACAGCCGUAUCUACUAAGUUUAGCACGCUUCAACUCAGCAGCUCGAGAAGCCUUAACGAAUCCUCCAGACAAUUGGAUCUGGUGGAUUGAGACUUUUGGACCCCGAGAGGAACCCUCGUUCCGACCCCUUAAACGCAGUCCCUGCUGUUGCUGUGGAAAAGAACUUUGUGAGGCAUGGGUAGCCUUUAAAUGCGGUGGUUGUAAUAAGGUUUAUUGGAAAGAACAAAGGUUAAUAUAUCACUUGUGGUGUGAGAGGUGUGCAGGCGAAGACAUUAGGAGGGGAGAUUGGGCUCUAGUAUUAGAGAAAGAGAACGGAAUACCUUAUACUCAAUUUCGGAGUGUGUAUGAGACCCCAGAACAGCUCUUGUUAGCAUGGGCAAGGUGGCAAAUUAAA